GCAUAUCAAUAAGCGGGGAGGAAAGAAACCAACAGGGAUUACCUCAGUAACGGCGAGUGAAGCGGUAACAGCUCAAAUUUGAAAGCUGCCAACAGGCCGCGUUGUAAUUUGUAGAAGCUGCUUUGGGUGUCGGCCCGGUCUAAGUUCCUUGGAACAGGACGUCAUAGAGGGUGAGAAUCCCGUAUGUGAUCGGUGCCGUUGCCCGUGUAAAGCGCUUUCGACGAGUCGAGUUGUUUGGGAAUGCAGCUCAAAAUGGGUGGUAAAUUUCAUCUAAAGCUAAAUAUUGGCCAGAGACCGAUAGCGCACAAGUAGAGUGAUCGAAAGAUGAAAAGCACUUUGGAAAGAGAGUUAAACAGUACGUGAAAUUGUUGAAAGGGAAGCGCUUGCAACCAGACUUGCGGGCGGUCGAUCAUCCGAGGUUCUCCCCGGUGCACUCGAUCGUUCUCAGGCCAGCAUCGGUUUCCGGGGUGGGAUAAAGGCGGUUGGGAAUGUGGCUCUUCGGAGUGUUAUAGCCCAUCGUGCAAUGCCACCACCGGGGACCGAGGACCGCGCUUCGGCUAGGAUGCUGGCGUAAUGGUUGUAAGCGACCCGUCUUGAAACACGGACCAAGGAGUCUAACAUCUAUGCGAGUGUUUGGGUGUCAAACCCAUACGCGUAAUGAAAGUGAACGGAGGUAAGAGCCCUUUAGGGUGCAUUAUCGACCGAUCCUGAUGUCUUCGGAUGGAUUUGAGUAAGAGCAUAGCUGUUGGGACCCGAAAGAUGGUGAACUAUGCGUGAAUAGGGUGAAGCCAGAGGAAACUCUGGUGGAGGCUCGCAGCGGUUCUGACGUGCAAAUCGAUCGUCAAAUUUGCGUAUAGGGGCGAAAGACUAAUCGAACCAUCUAGUAGCU
rnacentral:rRNA from 1 species